rnacentral:sRNA from 1 species
UAAAGAAGUCACCCGGCCCUUGUGGUGCCUCCCACAUCUAGUCUCCUCUCUGCAGGAGGACCAGUUCUUGUCAGACUGACUGGGAGCUUGCUCUCGUUUCUGGCUCUUCUGGACUGGCCAUCUCCAAGAUGAUGCAUCUAUCUUUAGCUGACCUUGGGGUUUGACAUUGGCUUGUGCUGAAUAUCUUUGGCAAGCUCUCUGCCUGCUGUGCUACUGAGAAGACCAGACAGAGCAGCUGCAGGAAGACAGGAGUAAUGUCUCCAGAGCAGAGGGGACCUCUGGUGUGGCCUUUCUUAAACAGCCACUCUUCCUCUGCUCACAAAUGAAGGUUGGCAAUGUGUUAACCAAGCUUUCUGCUUCUUGCCUUUUGGACACUGCAUAAAGCUUUCACCAUGUUUUCAGUGGGAUCAUUGCAGAAACCAGAAAGCAGCCUUGCAACUCUCUCUGGGGAACUUCAGAAAGCAUCUUAGUUCAGUUGUCCCUCAGAUACCUUGUCAAGGAACAUAAGCUGACCAAAUUGCUUCACUUCAAGUUCAAAUGGAAAAAGUACAGGCUUUGACGCUUGAGAGAUACAUCAAAAAAUUAACCAAUUCUUACAGUUCUUCCACAAGGAACACCUGGAAAUGACAACUUAGCCUGCAAGAAAUCAAACAGGAUGAUAGCACAACACCGGGGGAGCAGAGUGACCAUUCAGCUCAGUGACCAUUCUGUCCUACCUUCAACUGUCACCACCAACACUGCAACACCUCAAAGAAGGGCGGGAUUAAGGUCACUCAUGGAAAAGACUGACCGCUAGGCAAGUGUAAGAACUGGGAUUUCCAACCUGGGAAAUGUUUCUGAGGUGAGCAAAAGCAAUGCCAGUGGUAGAUCUUGAAACAAUGACUCUUCCAGAUGCAGACAGAGUUUAUUCUCAGAAUUCAUGUCACAUCACUAAUGAAGCCAAAUCGCCAGGGUUAGUAUACCUCUUUACUCCUCAGAGCUUCCCAAAUGCAGAAGAAUGGACCAGUGUCAGAGCCCCACAUUUUACCUGUGUGUGUGUGGCGGGGGUCCUUACUAUGCAGGCAUGGCAUGGCAUGGCAUGGCGCCUGCGGUGCUGGAAGCGAGAGAUGGCUGAUGCUGCACAUUAAGGAGGUCUGGUGUCUGGAGAUGGGGUUUCAUAUUGUGAUAAAUACGCAACAAAACGCAACUCAAUAGAGAAAGGAUUCAUUUGGACUAUAGUACAGCAGUAUUCAGUCCAUCGUGGUAGAAAAGGUAUGUGGAAAGAGCUCAAAGGUCAUGUUGGACCCCCAGUGAGGAAUUAGAGACAGAUAAAGGUUGGUAUUCCAUUCUCUUCCUCCUUUUAUUCCAUUUCGGACCCCCAAAACAUGAGUUAGCACCACCCACAGUUUGAGGUGGAUCUUCCCACUUUAAUUAACCAACCUAUACAGUCUUUGCCAGACAUGUCUAGAGGCUUGUUUUCUUGUUUUGUUUUGUUUUUGUUUUGUUUUGUUUUUUUAAAGUAAGCCUGUAGAACCGAUAUUAUUUCAUUGAACUGGCAUUUCAAGAUAUGACAUACAUAAAAUAUCCAGAGUGAGAAAAGGGAAGGGAAAUCACUAAAAUUCAAGGAAUCCUAUGAAGGUGAAGCCUGACUUCUGAUCCAGGCACCGAGCUGGAGACAGUGUGAGCUCCACGCAAUGUGUUACCCUGCGCAUGGAAGUGAGGAGAACAUUGUCAAUAGAAGCUGACCACUGCCAAGUUCCCAGGACACGCCUUUCCUACACAGACACCAAAGAAGCAAGCCUUAGCUUCCAUCCUGUGACAGCCGACAGGCAUCAUAAUGCCCAGAGCCUGGGCAACAAGCCCAUGGCAAGGACACUUAGCUCUGACCAUGACACAACCUUGAGGAUUGUAAAGGCCAGUGCUGCUCUCUGCUCCCACCUUCAUUGUUUUCCCACCUUAGAAAGUCAAUGGUAACAUCUGUCACCUGGACUGUCCUCUGUGAAAGGUCAUUAAGGGCUUCUGUUCCAAGUUAACCAGACCCAUAGACUACAGCUCAAUGAACGUCUACACAGUUGGUGGAGCCAUUCUGGAAAACGAAGCUAUGGAAUUUCACAUUGGCUUCGCAUUUUCACUGUUGGUUAUGUUUUUGUGUACUUAACCAUUGCCCAAAAUGAUAGAGGGGCAGCUUAUAAAACAAUUAGAUUCACAUUCUCUUUUGUAACUCAUGUUAGUCCUUCCUCAUUUCCUAAUAUUUGGGUUUUCAUAUUCUCUUUUCUACAUAGUAUGCUAUAACCACAUGCACAUUUAUUUAAUAUAUAUAUAUGUAUGUAUAUUACUGACUAGAUUCACUAUAUAAGGGAGAAUAUUUUUUCUUUCUGAGAUUCUGUAACUUUAAUUUUUUUUUAUUGGCAGCUUUACUUUCUUGGCAGUUCUGGAUAUUAUCCCAUUGUCUGAAGUGUAGCUGGUAAAGAUUUAUCCUGU